AUUGAACGCUGGCGGCAGGCCUAACACAUGCAAGUCGAACGAGUGGCGGACGGGUGUGUAAUGUCUGGGAAACUGCCUGAUGGAGGGGGAUAACUACUGGACACGGUAGCUAACACCGUAUACCAUGCGAUGUCCCCAGAUGGGAUUAGCUUGGAGGUGGGGUAAAGGCUCACCUAGGCGACGAUCCAUAUCUGGUCUGAGAGGAUGACCAGCCACACUGGAACUGAGACACGGUCCAGACUCCUACGGGAGGCAGCAGUGGGGAAUAUUGCACAAUGGGCGCAAGCCUGAUGCAGCCAUGCCGCGUGUAUGAAGAAGGCCUUCGGGUUGUAAAGUACUUUCAGCGGGGAGGCGUUACCCGCAGAAGAAGCACCGGCUAACUCCGUGCCAGCCGCCGCGGUAAUAC
rnacentral:rRNA from 1 species